UAAGAUUCAAAUUUGUAGAGAGAAAAUAUAUUAUUUUCUUCUUGUCCAAAAUUUAAGAAUUAGUUUCUAGAUUAAUUGAAAGAAGGUGCCCACACGCCGCUGUAAUCUUUGCGUUGGAGAAUACCAUAGAAGAUUUGAAUGUUUGAAACACUAAGAUUCUUGCAAUUAAAGGAGACGAAAGUUCGUGGAUCAUAGUUAUUUAAGGUUGAUCUUUAAACUUAGGUAAAAUAUUUGAAUCAUUUAAUUUUGUUAUAAUAUACACGUGAACAUCUAGACGAUCUUGCUUAUUGAAUUAAAGAAAAUUUUAAUUUCUGAUUAAUUUCGCUUCAGCAUUCCAACAACUGGUAUUAGAGCAAUCUAGAUCGUUCACGUUCUUGUUAUUUCUGAAUCUUAAUUGCAUAUUCUAGUCGAGCGAUGUCUAGGAAUAAUUUGAUAUAUGUUGAUUGAAUGAUUGGAUUAAUUUAAAUUGUGAACCAAUUAUUUGUGGCCAGUCUUUAAUUGUAAUUCGUUAUUUCGAGUCUGUAACAAGAUAGGUGGAUUACGACUCCAUCAUCUUGAUUUAAAUUUUUGUUCAAUUAGAUUCAAAAAUUGUGAGCUUAGGAGACAUUGGGAUUCUUGUAAUUUUUGGAUAUUAUAAAUUGAUUGAUGAUAGAAGACUUGAAGAAGGAACUCUGAUGGACCAGAUGAACAUCGACAAAUGCGGCCAAG
rnacentral:lncRNA from 1 species